UACGGAGGGUGCUAGCGUUGUUCGGAAUCACUGGGCGUAAAGGGUGCGUAGGUGGCUUGGUAAGUUUGAUGUGAAAUCUCCGGGCUUAACCCGGAAAUGGCAUUGAAUACUAUUGAGCUGGAGGUUUGGAGGGGGGACUGGAAUUCUCGGUGUAGCAGUGAAAUGCGUAGAUAUCGAGAGGAACACCAGUGGCGAAGGCGAGUCCCUGGACAACACCUGACACUGAGGCACGAAAGCUAGGGGAGCAAACAGG
rnacentral:rRNA from 1 species